UACAGAGGUCUCAAGCGUUGUUCGGAUUCAUUGGGCGUAAAGAGCUCGUAGGCGGCUUGUCGCGUCGAAUGUGAAAACUCGGGGCUCAACUCCGAGCUUGCAUUCGAUACGGGCAGGCUAGAGUUCGGUAGGGGAGACUGGAAUUCCUGGUGUAGCGGUGAAAUGCGCAGAUAUCAGGAGGAACACCGGUGGCGAAGGCGGGUCUCUGGGCCGAUACUGACGCUGAGGAGCGAAAGCGUGGGGAGCGAACAGG
rnacentral:rRNA from 1 species